CACAAACGAAUCAAAACUUUCAACAACGGAUCUCUUGGUUCUGGCAUCGAUGAAGAACGCAGCGAAAUGCGAUACGUAAUGUGAAUUGCAGAAUUCCGUGAAUCAUCGAAUCUUUGAACGCACAUUGCGCCCGCCAGCAUUCUGGCGGGCAUGCCUG
rnacentral:rRNA from 1 species